GAUGAACGCUGGCGGCGUGCUUAACACAUGCAAGUCGAGGGGCAGCAUUUUAGUUUGCUUGCAAACUAAAGAUGGCGACCGGCGCACGGGUGAGUAACACGUAUCCAACCUGCCGAUAACUCGGGGAUAGCCUUUCGAAAGAAAGAUUAAUAUCCGAUAGUAUAUUAAAACCGCAUGGUUUUACUAUUAAAGAAUUUCGGUUAUCGAUGGGGAUGCGUUCCAUUAGUUUGUUGGCGGGGUAACGGCCCACCAAGACUACGAUGGAUAGGGGUUCUGAGAGGAAGGUCCCCCACAUUGGAACUGAGACACGGUCCAA
rnacentral:rRNA from 1 species